CUUGCUGCUGACUUCAAGUGGCUAAUUAAGCAGUCAUCCAGAAACACAAUUAAAACAAACACACUAAAAGCUGCAAGUCUGAAGUUAUCAAUUCUCUGGAUACCUUCUUAGAUCUGUGAUAUCUGUGAAAAGAUGGCCUGUUUAGAAACCAUGUCCAAGAACUAGAGCAUUAACUUGAAGAAAGAGGUUAAGAGCUUUCUCUCCAAUCAUUCCAAAAGUAACGGGCCUUCGCUUCCUCCUUCUACAUAAUUUGUGUCAAAAUAAGAACCUCACUUAGAGAUUGGACGUUUGUAGAAGGUAUUUUGCUUUCAGGGCCAGGGAGACUUCGCCCCUUCCAGUGUCUGGAAACUUCAAAGGCUGGGUAUCAUCACACACUUCCAGACUAGGAUAAAAUAGGAGGUCUCAGCUGGACAGGAUAGGUAUGGGUUUGCCAGAAGGUUCAGUUAUCAAUUGCAGAGGGAAAAGGCAACAAUCUAUGGAGCAAGGCGUGGGGGGAAGAAAAGAGAUAUUCUGCUGCAAUAAUGUCUAGUCUGAGUUCUCAUCCUGAGCUCUGUGCUUCGUCUUAGCAGAGAAGUCUGGCAAAGCGAGAAGCACCGAGUGCUGUGAGUCUGAAUCUUGGCUAUAACCUGGCCCUAAGAUUCUCAAAACCUAGAGGGGAGUGACCGCAGCUAAUAAAUCCGCAUUUCAAAGCUCCAAGCAAUUUUCUGUCUUGCAGGAAAUAAAGACUGGAGUAUACUUUUGAAGCAGC
rnacentral:lncRNA from 1 species